rnacentral:rRNA from 1 species
ACUCCUACGGGGAGGCAGCAGCUAAGAAUCUUCCGCAAUGGGACGCAAGUCUGACGGAGCGACGCCGCGUGUGCGAAGAAUGUCGAGAGAUUGUAAAGCACUUUUUAUAUGUGAGGAAUAAGCGUGUCAGGAAAUGGGGCAUGUGAUGACGUUUAGCAUAUGAAUAAGCUCCGGCCAAUUUACGUGCCAGCAGCCGCGGUAACACGUAAGGAGCGAGCGUUGUUCGGAAUUAUUGGGCGUAAAGGGCAUGUAGGCGGUUCUGUAAGUCUGAUGUGAAGCACGCAGCUUAACUGCGAUGUUGCGUUGGGAAACUGCAGGACUUGAAUCCGAGAGGGGUGUGUGGAAUUCCUAGUGUAGGGGUGAAUCUGUUGAUAUUAGGAAGAACACCAGAGGCGAAGGCGACACACUGGCUCUGGAUUGACGCUGAGGUGCGAAGCGUAGGUAGCGAACAGGAUUAGAUACCCUGGGGGCACAGAG